rnacentral:lncRNA from 10 species
CACUAUGAUGAAAACCCACAGGAAACAGCAGCAAACACUAGGGAUAGGGUUUAACACUUAACUGAUCUGAAUUCAAGUUUAGAGUAGCUCCCUAGAGUUGCUGAACUAAUGACAAUCAGAAAUGUAGUUGCAUUUUAGAAGUUGUGACCAACAUGAAGAUUAUCAAAGGGAAUACCAACUUAAAGCUAGGGAAGUUUCACGGCACUUUAAAUCUUUAGCUCAAUCGUGUAUCAUUAAAUAUAGUUGGUGAUUCUAGUAAAUAUAAUAUUGCUAUAUCUAAAAAAAGAUGUAUAUUGUUAUAGAAAAAAAGCAUAACUCAGUAGAAAGACUCUUCAAUGCAGAUAACCACAAUUCAGGAAAGCAAAAUUAUCAGGAUCAAAGAGCAAAACCCAGGCACCCCCAUCCAUGUGGAAGCAGCUUAACAUAGUCUUUGUACAUAGAGUGAUUAACAAUAGCAUCUGAAGGGCUAAUCUUUCAAACUCAAACUUAUAAUUAUGCAAACAUCUCCCCAGGACACUAGUUCACUUAAAAAACAAAGAUAUUUUAAAUAUAUCCUUUGACUUCUUUUGAAAUAGCUUAAGGUGACUUAGCAGUUAAGGCAAGUAAGGAGAAAUAACAUAUAAGGUUAUUUGAAAAUGCAUUUGAGAAAAAGCAGAUAGAAUUGGCACUUUCAGACACUUCAGUUGACAAGAUUAUAGUACAACGACAAUUAGUUUAUUUUCUAGCAGCUAAGCUAUAAAAAGAAACAUUUGAAAUUACACAAUAACAGAAAACAUACAAAUUCAUCAACAGAGACAAUUCUUUCUGGAUCUUAACCCAACCAGAAAUUUAGCAUGUACACCUAUAUGUAAAGGAAAUACAAAGAUAAUUCAGUGCACUUUAUCUACAACCAGAAUUUUACAAAAGAUAUAGAAAUAUUCUUCUCUUGGGUGACUCACAUACUAACCCUCCAUAAAGGCAGAGGGUAUGACAUUAAAUCAUAACUCAGGCAGGCAAUUUUGUGCAAAGCUGAUAUAAUGGUGUCCAAGCACCGACUUUUUGAUGCCCCAACUUAAUGCUUGAAUAAAACUUGGGAACUUGAGAUGAAUGGCUAGUUAGCAUGUCUAUUAGACUGCCUUUCUCAAAAAGAAGGUCUUUAAAGCAAGCUUCGGAAAAGGACUGUAUCUCUUAAACUCUUCUGGAGCUAUUUAGCAAGUGCUUGUUUUGCCACUAUCCCAUAACAUUCAUAUAAGGGGAUGUUGUGUCCGCUCUUUUGCUCACACAUUCCAAGUAUGGUUUAAAAAUGAAAAGCCAGAGGAUGGUAACAAUUAAUAUUCGUAUCAUCAUUUACUGUUUUAAACGUAUGUUUUUGGUCCCAAGAUAGACAAGCCAGUGACUAUGAUACCUGUUUAGUGUGAUAAGAAAGACUGUUUAUCCUAAAGCCUGCAAUUCAUUCAUACCCUUUGCAAUUCACCUUCAUUCAUUCACAACCUGUGCAAUGUGGCUUUGUAGCCUCUCCCAUCAAGAAAUGUAAUUCCUUCUACUGCAUGAAAACUGUGUUGGCCUUGGGAUUUGCUCUGGACAAAUGUUUUAUAGUUGAAAUGACUGUGUUGGUUUUAAGCCUAGACCUCAAGAGGUCUUUUCCACUUCAGCUGGUCUCUUGGAACCCUGCUGCUACCCUGGGAAUACAAAGUGGGGCUGUCCUUCUGGAUCUAGAUAGGCACUAGUCCUAGGCAUCCCCAUUGCUGCAGCCAAUAGCCAGCCAACCUGCAGGAGCAGAGCUGCCUGAAUGACCAGUCGCUUACCGCAGGUCUGUGAGGGAGCCUGGCCAAUCCCAGAACUGCUCAGCUGAACCCACAUCAAUUUGCCGACCAACAGAAUGGUGAGCUAAACUAAUGGUUAUUGUUUUAAGUCAUUAGCUUUGGGUAGUUUAUUUCACAACAAUUGCUAACUGCUAUAUACGGCAUUAAGAAAUUACUAAUACCUGAAAUAACAUCUUAUAUUUGUAUAGAACUUUAUUGCUAAAAGGUAUUUGGCACAUAUUAUCUGAGUUGCCUCCUAUCCUGAAUCUCGUAUUAAAUAAAGACACUUAUCCACAGCUCCCUUACAGCGUUGUUGUGAGGCUUAAUGGUAGCAUCAGGGCUGCAACACAGUAGGUGCUCAAAGAAUAUUCCAUCCCUGUUCUGUUUCAUGGUUUCUCAACUUUUUUCAUUACUAUACCUCCUGAGGAGAAAUUUUAGACUUUUUUUUCCUAAUUGCCCCCCCUUUCUAUAAAAUUUUAAUAUCACAGAUAUGCUGAAUAUCUGUUUCUAUGCAUUAUGCAAGUCCAUGCUUUGUAUAUAAAAAGAGGAAGAUUUUUUUUUCUUUUUAUAAGAACCAAUCAUCACCCCCUUGGGGAAGCAGACUGUCUCACUGUCAUUGAGAAUGCAUGCUCUGUUGGUGUCACAACGUGCUUUUUUUUUUUUUUUUUUGACCCUGAAUCAUGAACUGAUUUGUAGUAGGUCAUGUCGCUUAAAGACUGCAGGCCCCAAAGAUUAACCCAGGGCAUUUGACACCAAGCCGAGCACUCUAGGUACUCUAUCAGAGUGCUUGGGUUCAAAUGCGCAUUUAAUCUAAGAGGGGAUAAAUUGAAUCAUCUAUCUUUACAACACUGGGGUGAAAACCAACUAAUUAAACUGCUUGUAACUGUUAUAGUGAAAGAGGGAAAAGCUCUAUACAUGCUUAAUAAUCACAUUGACAGAAUUGGAAGAUGCUAUUUGCUUCUCUGUGUAUAGAGACUGUUCUUCAGAUGAAGAGAAUUCAUUCUCUGGAGCCAUCCAUCCAGCCUCUCACUAAAUUCACUCAUACUACAUUUCUUUAAGGAUUUAUAAGACAGAAAAGAAAAUAGCAGUGAGACAGAUGAAAACAUUUCCUUGAUACAGGCAUAAAACUCGAAGGACUAAAAGCACGGAGGGGAGCCACAGACAGGGAAAGACUGGAGAAGAUUAAGUGUGUAUGUGUCACUAAUCACCAUAUUCAACCUUUAGAAAUGCUCUUUGUGAGGAAAGGCAUUUGCAGAAAGAGCGCUCAUAAAGAAAUGUGAAACCGACCUCAGUCACAAAGUUCACAGGACGAAAUGCAAUAGUUAUUGAGCUCUGAGUGGCUUGCAGCCAAAUGCAGAGCUGUCCACGUCCAGUCCAUUUAACCUGACCUUGGUUAAAGAAGCAGUUUUGCCUAUGCAUACGAGGAAGGGGCCUUGCCAGGAACUAAAAUGUAAAAGCAUCCAGAAUCAUCUCAACAUCAUCGUGUUUUUGUUUUAAGGACCUCAGAGUCUGACUAAUUAUUAAGCAAUAACCAACACGUGUCUAAACUGGUUUCCUCCCAGAGCUCCUGGUUCUCUUUUUGAAGAGCCUCGCCCUUAUUACCCAGGUAAAAGUAAUUAAAAAAGAAGUGAUUUUUCUACCCCCAGUGAUUUCCCACAGUAAGAAGGAAUGAAAGAUGUUGUAAAUAUUUACAAAGGAGAAAUAGAGACAAAAUAAAGUAGGUUACGACUUCAAAAAUCUUAUAAAGCACUAGUAUUUUAUAGAUAGGAAAACUGAGGCUUCAAGGCAGAAAGUGAUUUCUCGCAAAUCCACGGAUAGAACUAAAAGCACAGCAUAUUCAUCUAAUGCACUUUGUACCACACCAGAUCAUACCUCCUAUAAAACAGUGAUGUGCUGCCCUCUCAAGUAUGGAUUUAAUUCUUCUACAGUUACUUUAGGGAAACAAACAAAAGCUCUUCUGGAAUUACCUGUUGCCGUUUUUCACUGAGGUUGAUUUUCAAGAAGAUCCCUCUUGCUACAGAGAUAAUUCCAGCCCUUCCCAGUUCUACCGUGAGCUCUUACUCAAGCUCAGAGAUAAUUCAGGGGAAGAAGCACCUGUGUGUUCUCUGUUCUCAUUGGGCCAGAAGAGCAGGUCAGCCCACUAGACCACCCUUUCCUUUGCACCCUUUUAAAGGAAAACUCCUCUUCAAAUAGCGCUUCUGAUAUCAACUGCUCUUUCUAAAUUAUCUUUCUUUCAUAUUAUUUCUCGUGAUUGCCUAGCGCACAUGCUGCUGGUCUCACUGGCAAUUUCUUUGUGAGAUUCAUUGAUUCUGGAAGAACCCACAAUUUCUCUCAUUUUUCUCUCCCUUUCAUUAUCCUGCUUCAUUUUUCCUGUCCUUGAUAUCCUUUCCUGUUUUUGGCUCUUUUGGAAAUUCAGCUUGGCAAUUUCAUAGGGUUGACUUUCUUGCAGCAUACAUGGAGCUUUCUUGCUUAGUGGAACCUACAACUCCCUCUACACACCUGACCCUGCCUCACCUUGUGAGCAUGGACCUCUUAUGGUGGAUCCAAGGAGUUCAUGCACUCAUGUACUUUCCUGCCUCUGGGGCUUUCUCAUGCCUGGAUUUUCCUCUUGAUUUACUUCUGAACUCACUAGCAUAGAUUGAGCCUGAGGGAUUUAGAUCAAACAUUACCUUCAUGGUUUAUUAUGGCAUAGCUGUGUCAUGACCCCAUCCCUGCUCCCUGAGCUUCUUCAGAAGACCUGCUUCUAGUUUUGGCACUAUCAUUCACUUGCAAAACAUUUGGAAAAUCUUUUCACUUAUUGGCCUUAAGUGUUCUCACUUAUAAAUUAAAGAGAAGUGCUUCAAUCUUUAGUCAUUCAUUUAUUCAUUCAUCCAUUCAUUGACUCAGCAAACAUAUAUUGAGCCCCAGCUGCUGGGAAGCUUAAAGAUAUUAGUUUGAGUGAUCUCCAGGGUGCCUUCACAGAAAGCUCAUAUGAGGUUGCCUCCUUACCUUUUCCUACAUAAGCCAGAGUGACUCAUCCAAGACAGGCAGCACAUCAUCCCAGAUCAGCCUGUGAAGGGUUGGAGCACCCUUAUCUACAGGAAUAAGCCAGAGUUGGAGUUGUGGUUUGCAGAAGGGGAGACCGAAUUGGGGAAGGAAAGAAUGAAGGAACAGCAAAGCUGCUGUUUCACAAGUCCUUCCUACGGCAUCCUGUGGUUGAAAAUAGACAGGGAGCAGAACAGAAAUAGCAGCACCUGCUUAAACCCACAGUCUCUUACAACCUGAGCUUCCUGAAUGGGCUCUGCCUGCGGUGAAUGCCCCUGCCAUGGGGAACUGCAGAAGAACAAGCUGGCCCUUAACAUUCUUUCAAUUAUCCAGCUGCCUGCAUUCCCUGGGCCUCUUGUUCCCCUUCCUCUCACAGAUAGGGUGGCAGAGAGCACACUGGGAGAAGUAUGGAAUGGGGUUUGGCUUUGGCCUCAAUUUGCUGAGAGACCUAGAGCAGGACUUCUGUUCUUCCUGAGCCUCAGUUUUCCCAUCUAUAAAAUAAAAGAUUGGUCUUGAAAAUUCUCUGUAAUUCUACAGCCUGGACCCAGUGGCUCCCCUCUGACCUACAUUCUUUUCUUCUUUUCUUUCUCCUUAGUGUUAUGCAAUCCUUUCCACUGUUUUUGUUUUUUUUUUUUUUUUUUUUUUUUUUCAGGAAAGGCAGAGCUUUGUGUUCGCAGUGCUGAUGUUGGCUAGACAGACCAACAGUGACGCCUCAGCUCACAUCUCAGGCCUUGUAUUACCUCUCUGUCUUGGGGACUUCAAGGGCCAGAGAUGAUGUUGGCUUCUGUGGAGAGGCCAGAGUCAGAGAAAUCCAAGUUAAGUGCCUAAGUGGGCCAGUUUUGUAAAAUCCACUGGGGCUCUUCAUGGUUGCUAUUUGAUCCUGGGAUCUCUCAACUGUGCUGCUUCUCCUUCCCUUUCUCAUGGUCUCUUUGCAUCUACUGUAUCCGUUUCUUCCAUAGCAUACACUCAGACCUUUUAGUUCACCUGCAACUUUCUUACGUCUGCACGACCUUAUCAUCCUUGCCCACGCUGCUCAUUAACUCACUGCCUCCAUUCCUCACCUGGGGCCUGCCUUCUCCUAAGAACCAACUUCAUUCUUCAUUAUGUUUCUUUCCUCUCUUCUCUUGCACACUUCCCAUCCUCUCACCUUCUAUUGAUCUUCCCUCCCUUCUCCUCUUAGCAACAUAGUGUAAUGGAAAGACCAUAGUCUUAGAUGCAAGAUGAACAUGGAUGGGUUCACAUUCUGUGAAUUUGAGAAAAUUAUCUAACUCAAAUAUGGAAUUUACUCACAUUCAGAAUGUGUCAAUAAUAGCUAUUACUCAAUACUGCUGUGUUAAUAUGAGAUAAUAUCUGUGAGAACCUAGAUCAGGAGAGAGAACACUAAAGGCAGUGCCUUAAAAACAGACAUUAGCUGUUAUAAUUAUCAUCAUCAUUUUCCUUAUCUACAUAAACCAUGAGGAAAUGUUAGUCUGCUCUUGCUUUGUUGUCUUUCCAUUUCCUUAGUCUCUAUCCCAACUCUAGUUUCUCCUGGAGGAGGUUAAGUGCCCCUAUUGUGUGUUCUUGUAACCCCGAGUACCUCCUCUCAAAGGUUGUAUCACACUGGCUUAUAAUUGCCUACUGACCUUCCUUCUGUUUUCUCCAUUUGGAACGAGGGUUGUGUCUUGUUAAGCACUAUGUCACCAGGGCCUGGGACAGUGCCAGAACAUAUUAGAUACUAGGGCCAGGGCUACAGUGGAUCAUAACUCUCAAGGAGGUGCUCAGUCUCAGAGUCCUGCACCUAUAAUAGGUAUUCAGUAAAAAUGUAUCAAAAGCCUGUAGUCCCAGCUCCUUGGGAGGUUGAAAUGGGAGAAUUGCUUGAGCCCAGGGGUUUGAGGCCAUAGUGUGUUAUUAUGGCACCUGAGAAUAGCCAUAGCACUCCACCCUGGGCAACAUAGUAAGACCCCCAUCUCUAAUAUCUAACUAAAUAUAGAGAGUAGCAAACAGCCUAGUGGAUUUUUUUUUUCUGUCUCCACUUACCCUACAUUUUCUCAAUCCCAUCAGUCUUCUUUUUGUUCUGUCUCUCUUCACUCUGUCUCCCUUCUGUUAACUGCUGUCCUCACCCAUGCUUUACAUGGCCCAACUCUGUCCCUUGAAUAGCAUCAGUAUUUUAUCUCCUUUUCUCCCCCUACACUCCUGCCAUCAGACCUUCCCCAGCCCUUGCUCCUUCUACUUGCUUGAAUCUGGCAAACUCUCUUCUCACUGCCUCUUCCUUUAUUGAUUUAUGUGAGGUUAUUUUGUCCAUGGAGGAAAAGGAUUUCUUUGAUGCUCUAAAGGAUAAGACCAGGCACAAAAGCUACGGACAGCUUUUGUUUGAUGUGGACAAUUUUAUUCCUAUUCAGUUCGCUGGGUUUUCAAACGGCUGCAGAUCUCUGAACUCAAAACAUCUGAGCCAGUACAUUCUCUCUCUCUCCUGAAAGUGCACAGGCAUUUUAAAGUCUUUAACAACCUUUCCUGUAUCUCACUGAACGGAGGUCAUAUCAUUAGUUAGGCCUUGAGUUCAUACUGAAAAGGUAAAAUUGUCAAAUUAAGAACAGAUCUACGUAUUUUAGAAUAAAAGAGAAAGGCACCAGUACAUAUCUAACUACUUCCUUCUUCUUGUCAUGCGUUUGUUGCACCCUCCACUUUCUAAGGUCAAAACCUUUUUGAACACUUACUUCUACCAUUUAAGUGUUAUUCACAAUUAGCUGUGCAAUUAUGUCUCUAAUUAGAAUAUUCCCCCAAAUAAAAUCACCUUAGAAAGUUUCAAAGGGUGUAUAUCAAAUAGGGCACAGGUGGCUUUACAAAUUCUGAGAGCUGAUACGUAAGUUUGCAAAAAAAGUUUUUAGGAAAACUGAACAAUACAUGAGAGAGGGUAUGCUUUAUUCUCUGUGAUAUCUCCCACCCCAAAUUCCUGUGACUCUCUAGAAGUUUACCAUAUAUUGGCUAGCAUACCCUAUUUGUAAUGCACAAUACUGGAUUCAAUAUUUGCUCUAGUAACUCAGGUAUAAGGGAUUAAAUUCAAGGAGGUGAAAAUGUAGAUUCAUGGGAAGCUCCACACUUUGGAGAAAUUCUGUCUCCCUGCGGAAGAAUAGACAGUGCUGAGCUGGGUGAAACCCAAGCAAAGAAGGAAAAAGGACCAUCUUGAGCAUAAGGAAUGCCUAAGAUUUGGUGGAAGGACAAGCUCCUGCAUCCUCUCUGAAGAGAAAUUUAGCAAUAUUUGGCAAAAUUUUUAAAUGCAUAUAUGAUUUGACUUCACAUUCCCACUUCUAAUAAUACUGUUUACAAAUAUAUUGGUACAUCUAAGAAAGACACAUAUAAGGUAAAUAUUGAGGCAUUGUUGGAAGUGAGAAAAUGACUGGAAAUAACAUAAAUGUCCAUCACUAAAAGCAGUUAUUACACAUAUGCCUUGAAAUAUCGUGUAGCUGCUAAAAAGAGUUUUUUAUUUAAUAGUAUGAUAAAUCUUUCUGACACAAGACCAAGUACUAACAUCACGUACAGCAUGGCAUCACUGGGAUGCUUUUUGAUGUAGCAACUUGGCUAGGCUAAGCCAUGGUCCCAGGAUGUACUUCAUAAUACAUUUCUUAUUAGGGACAACUGUAAGGAAUAUUCUAUCAGGAGAGUCGGGAAAUAUAAAGAAAGCUGUGGCCACUUUUUGUAGCAUACCCACACUUUCUUCCAACUAUUCAAUCAAACACUAAUGUAGAUGCUACUGUGAAGCGAUUUCACAGGUGUGAUUUUAGUCCCUAAGCAGCUGACUUUUAGUUAACUAAAAGGAAGAUUACCCAGUGUGGCCCUGAUUCAGUCACCUGGAAGGCCUUUAGAAAGAGUCUCAUGAACUUCCUGAGGCAGAUACUCCAAACAGCUGGGUCUAUAGUUGUUCUUUCUUGAUCUUCCUUCCUGACCACUGCCUGUGCACAAUGGGUUUCAUCUUGUGUUUGUGAAAUUCCAGUUUGCAUGUGAUCUUCCCUUCCUACCUGUCCUACAGACUUCUGACUUGUUUAGUGAGCCCCCACAAUUGGAUAAACUAGUUUUGCCUAAUAAAUCUCUGCAUAUGCAUGUCUGUGUGUAUGCAUGUAUUAGUGUAUGUGUGCAUAAAAGUGUAUGUGUGUCUCAUACUGGUUCUCCUCUGAUUGAAUCCUGAUACAUCUUCAAUGUAAAAAGACAAGAAACAAAUAUACACACACACACACACAUACAUGUUUUAGACUCUCUGAGAGGAAACACAGAAAUCAUUAACAGCUAUUGUCUCUGUGGAGGAAAUCUAUGGAUUUAGGAGACAGAAACAAUGGUGGAGGAUCAAUGUAUUUGUAAACUUUUAUAUUUAACCUUGUGCUCUAAGUUUUUGAAAAGGUCAUGCUUAUUUUUUUCUUUACUGUGGUUAACAAAACACGUUUUAUAACAUUUACCAUCUUAAGCAUUUUAAGUGUACAGUUCUCUAGUGUUAAGUGUAUUCACACUGCUACGAAAUAGCUCUCCAGAACUUUUUUAAUCUUGUGAAACCGAAACUCUAUACCCUUUAAAUAGCAACUGUCCUUUUCCUCAACCUCCAAUGACCUAUCCCACUUUCUGUUUCUACAAAUUGAACUACUUUAAAUACCACAUAUAAGUUUAAUCAGAACGCUUGUUGUCAUAUUUAAUUUUAAUACAAUGUUUGAAAGUGCUGCAAAAGUACAGGGUUUAUCCAGUAAUAACUUUUCUCUCCAGGGUAAGACUCUCAUGAGUAUUGGUUGACUGCUUGAUUAAAUGUUGUCUGUCACUUAAACACAAAACUUACUUUAUAGUUAACUUCCAUUUAUUCCACAAAUAUUCAAUAACUGCCAAAAAGUCAUUACCAAUAAGCCACUGAGUCGGAUAGCUCAGGAUAUGAAGAUGAAUAAGGGGAAAUAAUAAAAGUUUUAUUGAUCUUAUGGGUUGUCUUUGGAGCUACUGAGAUAAUGGAUGUAAUGUGACCACCACAGUUGUGGUAUUAUUAGUAACAAGAGCUAAGGUAGAGACCAAGGAGGAAAAUUUUUAUACUCUACUGCAAAUCUGCUGAUUGAAUCUGAGGAAGUCAUUCACCACUCGUCUGGAUGCUUGUAGAGAUAGACAUUAGAGCUAUACACACAUUGGGUUGCAUUGAUUGAUAAGUCAUGUGCUCUUGUAUAUAAACAAUUGAGGUAUGCAUUUUACCUUCCUUUAGAUAAAGGAAAAGACAGGACGAGAGUGCAUAAUGCACUAGAGGCUGGUUUAUUCUUUGUUGUGUUUAAUCCUGAUUCUUUGGACAACUGAAUAUUUUAAAAAUUCCCUUUGUUCUUCUUCUUUCAUCGAAACAGGCUAUUAUUACUAUUAUCAAAAUGAUCAUCUUAUGAAUGAUAAUUUUAGCCACUCAUUGUGAAUAUACUCUGUUACAGAUACUAGUCAAAGUCUUUACAUGAUAUAUUUAUUUAGCCUUAACAAAACUCCUAUAAAGUAGGUUAGUGUUAUUGUACCCAUUUUUUCCAAUAAAGAAACCAAGGCUUAGAAAUGUCAUUAAAUGUGCAUUAUGGUCAUGCACAGUCCAGAUCCUUUGUUACUGUAUGUGCUGCUCUACCAGGUCAUGUGUUAUGGUGGGCAAGGGUGUAUGGAGAUGAGGAAGAUCCAGCCUCUAACCUUGGAGAUAAGUGGGAGGCAGCAAAUAUAAACAAUGAAUUAUAAAUCAAAGCAAGACGGCAUCAGGGUCUCAAGAAACAUGCAAGCAAAGGAAAGCACAACAGAGAAAUGUCAGCUCUUGCUGACCUCCUAUAUGGGAAGCCACAUGUGCUUAUAACAAAGCUGUCAUCAUUCAAAACAGAUGUCCUUUUGGCAAACACUUUUAGAAUCAGUUUAAAUUACACUGAAUGCAUACACACAUGUGCAAAUAAACACAUUAUUUGGUAACCUCCUGACCCUUCCAGUUCUAUACUAGGAUUACUUAGUUUUUCCACUCUCUGGUUCAUAUUGAGAGGUUAUUCAAUUAAAAUUAAAGAAUAUAUCUUAACAAAUAGUAUGGAUUUUGGAUUUCAGAAGAUCUGAAAUCAAAUACUACUGCAUGAGGAAGUUAUUUAACUUCUUCAGUACUUAAGAGUCCUUGUUUAUUAAAAAGGGAAAUUACAGUGUGAUACCAACCUUAUGAAAUAAGAUAACUCAAACAACAUUAUUAGCAUCAUGGCUGGCACAUAGCAAGUGCCCAGUAAAUAUAUGCUAUGUUUGAGUCCUUAAUAAAUGACCCAAGCACCUUUUGAAGGAUUAAGCCAGUAGAGGUUAAAAAAAAAGCCUGUUAUAUAAAACCUUACUCCAUUUUGUGUGUGUGUGUGUGUGUGUGUGUGUAUGUGUGUGUGUAGAGAGAGAGAGAGAGAGGUGCUAAGCCAUGUUUCUUUAAAAUCUUACUCUGCAAAGUAUAAGAUACAUGGGCUAUGUAAAUUUUGGAUAAAAGCAAAGUAAGUCUGGUUUGUGUAAUCCCUUUGUACAUUCAGUGGGAAAGUGAGCUAAAAAAUGAAACGGUAUGUUGGUAAACUCUGAACUAAGUACCAAAGCUGAACUAAUCCAAGUCUUCUAUAUACUCACAGCUUGGAGUUAACCUUGUCAGACCUCAGGAUUUCAGCACUGACAAGUUUAUUCCUAUCUU